CAGGUCCCCUGUGCGUGUCUUGGGGAUCCCACAAGUUCUGGCUGGAGCGAGAGCCUGCUCAGGGACAGGUAAGUCCCUUGGUGUGAAGUCAGCUGUGAGGACACUGAUCACCUCUCUUUGGACAGAGCAAUAUUGAAGACUGAACACACAGAAGAUCAAACCACAGAGCUGACAAGGACAAAAGAACAGAUGUCCAGUCUAACUGUCUUCUCAGAGUCACAGGCAUGAAUGCAGACUUCGUGAUCAAAUCCCUGAGCUUAAGAGACGCAUGGCAGACACGGGGCCCAUUGAGUCAACUGUCUCAAUAUGCAGCUGAGGAGGAAAGAUUGCGGUCUCACUGACUACAGUGUACACCCCCUAUUCCGGCUUCCACCAAAUCCAUCUGAGCACCUGCAGAAGGCCCUCAAGAGGCUUCCCUUGGCACAGUCAGCACUGGGUCAUUAGCUGCUGAGACUAAAGUCCAAUCUACCCACAAUGUGUGCAUCCCCAGCUCCCACCCUGCCUGAAUCAACGAUUGGAAGGGAACCAAAGCAGUUCCUACUUGGGCCCAUACAGCCAGGUCCAGCCAGCACCUACUGCAUUCCCCCAGGGCCACGCCUGCAGAAGGACGAUAAGGGAAUCAGAUUCUCCAGUGACAGAAAAGGGAUAGUCCAAAGACCUAGAAUAUUUAGCUGUAUUUACCUGCCAUAAUCAGCUUCUCAAAGACAGUCGCUGGGCAGCUCUUGCUACAUUGAUUAUACCACCUCCUAUUUUUGGCCCCUGGGGGCAAACAGUUCUGAUUAAUAUUUCACAACAUGGUUUUUUUUCAUAUCCCUUUCUUUGCAUUGUUCUCUCUCUCUCUCUCUCUCUCUCUCUCUCUCUCUCUCUCUCUCUCUCUCUCUCUCUCUCUCUCUCUCUCUCUCUCUCUCAGCCCCUGAGAGCCUGAUAGAGAGACGCAGAAUAUUUUACCGUCUCUUGUGUCUGCCUGCUCCAGUAAUCAGCGGACUCAAUCAUGCUUGCAGUGUUUUUAUGAAUUAAUAACAGGCACUUUGGAGGGCUAGUGGGGGAGGCAGGAAACGCAAUCUAUGGAAGCUUAAUGAGCGCCGUGGGGAACAGCUCGCUCCCCGCCUCCCUCCCCACCACACUGCACUGUAAAUCAUCUUUUCUGAGAUUACUGGCUUUCAGACUAGCCUAGACAGUUUGCAGGAGCUCCUCGAAUGUCCCUCUGUUGCUGCCAGAUGCCCCCAGGAAAUGGAAAUCUGGGAGAAGCAGCAAAGGCAAAGGAAGGGACUAGGGCUAGGGCUCAAUUUGUAAAGAGCUUGCUUGGCAUUCACCAAGCUCUGGUUCCAUCCCCAACACACAGAUAGUGGAAGCAGAUGGUCAGAAGUUCAAGGUCAUCCUCAGCUACACAGCAAGUUUGAAAUCAACCUGGGCUACACAAGACCCCGAUUCAAAAAGACGGUAGCAGUGGUUGCUGGAGAAAAGAACUGAAGCCUGAUUUUUCUUUGCCUAUGUCCAUAACACCCUGCAUGCACCAAAUCUCACCUGAAGAGGCAAAGAAGCUGGUGCUCUGGCUUGGCCAGGCAAAUGGCCACACGCUUCCAUGCACAGUCAAUCUGGCAAAGUAGGUGAGACAGCUUGGUGAUGCCCAGUUCACAGCAUCAGCAGCUCACUAUGUGAGUUAGGAUGGAUGUUAGGGCCAUGCCAAACGACUGCAGGGCAUUCUCCCUUCCUUGUGUUCUGGUAAAGCCUUGUAGAUAGACUCUGGCCCACACUCUGAGUGGCAAUACUCUAAAUGUAAUGUCCCUUCCUAUUCUUCAUUUGUGGAGAGAAGUGUAAUUACUACCUCAAGCAGAACCUUAGACCAGACCUACCUUCCCAGUAGGACUAUGAAGGCCAAUACUGUAAACAGAAAGUUGAUUUGGAAGCAAGGCCAAGCUGCAAUGAUGCCCCCUUUUCUUUUGAAGAAUGUUGUAGCCACACAAAAGUGGAGAGAAUAGAUGUUAAUCUGAGUGUUUAUGACACUGUGCCCUUAGGCUCAGAUGAUUUUUCCAUGCAAGGGUAGCCUUCCAUUCCUAGCAGGCGGGUACCACAUGUCAAGGCCUCUGUGACAUCAAUGAGCUCAUCUGGCCUCUCUCUUUAGAGAUGCUGUGUCCUCAUUCUUGCAAGUGCCACUCCUCACCCACCGAGACAGAUGCCUGGGCUCAUUUGUUUCAUGUUGACUUCAAGUUUUCAUCUUCAAAUGUGACACUUUCAAGACUUGGGGAAACCGGUGUUUAGGAAGCAUCAUGCAUUUGAACUUGGACUUGAAGGCUCUCUGGGUUCUGUGGGAUGGAGCCAUAAGGCUUCAAGGCCCUCAUCUUGGAAACACUUAACUAUUCUUGAAAGCACAACUCACUUACUAGGAUCACACAGACCCAGUAAUGCAAAUUUCCAAACAGCA